AGAGUUUGAUCAUGGCUCAGAUUGAACGCUGGCGGCAGGCCUAACACAUGCAAGUCGAACGGUAACAUUUCUAGCUUGCUAGAAGAUGACGAGUGGCGGACGGGUGAGUAAUGCUUGGGAACUUGCCUUUGCGAGGGGGAUAACAGUUGGAAACGACUGCUAAUACCGCAUAAUGUCUACGGACCAAACGGGGCUUCGGCCCCGGCGCAAAGAGAGGCCCAAGUGAGACUAGCUAGUUGGUAAGGUAACGGCUUACCAAGGCGACGAUCUCUAGCUGUUCUGAGAGGAAGAUCAGCCACACUGGGACUGAGACACGGCCCAGACUCCUACGGGAGGCAGCAGUGGGGAAUAUUGCACAAUGG
rnacentral:rRNA from 1 species